GCCUGCCCAAUGACUCUGUUUAACGGCCGCGGUAUCCUAACCGUGCGAAGGUAGCGUAAUCACUUGUUCUCUAAAUGUGGACUAGUAUGAACGGCAUCACGAGGGUUAUACUGUCUCCUCUUUCUAAUCAGUGAAACUAACCUCCCCGUGAAGAGGCGGGGAUAGAACUAUAAGACGAGAAGACCCUAUGGAGCUUUAAACAACAUAGCACCUGCCCUAUAAUACGAAAUUUCCGAAUCUCUUACUCCAAAGCAAUAUGACUAUAAGUUUUUGGUUGGGGUGACCGCGGAGCAAAACUUAACCUCCAUGUUGAAAAUUUUAAGCUGAGAAUCACCCUUCUAAGCAUCAAUAUACUGACACCAAUUGACCCAAUACAUUUGAACAACGAACCAAGUUACCCUAGGGAUAACAGCGCA
rnacentral:rRNA from 1 species